GAGGGCCAAUCUUCUUUACUCGGUCUGAUACUGACUCAAAUCCUAAUCUCUUCCAGAAACAUCUUCAUAGAUGAACCCGGAAAUAAUGUUUUACUAGCCAUCUGGGCAUCCCUUAGCCCAGUCAAGUUGACACAUAAAAGUAAUCAUCACAUUGGUAUAUGAAGAGGAUUAAAUCACUCAAUUUUGAAUAGCCUCUGACUCAUCUCUUUGCCUUCUGAGUUCUCACUCAUUCCCUGCUCUGGUCCACCCAGCAGGAGUCCACAUGGCCAGCAUUUCUAUUGAGUUUACGCAGACUCACAGAAAGGAACCACUGAUAGGAAGGCCACGGGCACUGUUUUAAUGGUGGAAUCAUUCCACAUCUGUGAAUAAAAUGCUACAGAACCUUUAGGGCUAGCAGCCGUCUCAGAGGACUUCUGAUGCAAUCUUUCUCCUAUGGACU
rnacentral:lncRNA from 10 species